CACGGGGGGAGCAAGCGUUGUUCGGAAUCACUGGGCGUAAAGGGUGUCUAGGCUGUCAGGUAAGUGAGAUGUGAAAUCCCUCGGCUUACCCGAGGACCUGCAUUUCAUACUGCUUGGCUUGAGUACGGGAGAGGAUGUGGGAAUUCCUGGUGUAGCGGUGAAAUGCGUAGAUAUCAGGAGGAACACCGGUGGCGAAGGCGCACAUCUGGCCCGAUACUGACGCUGAAGCACGAAAGCUAGGGGAGCAAACGGG
rnacentral:rRNA from 1 species